AACGAACGCUGGCGGCAUGCCUAACACAUGCAAGUCGAACGCGACCCUCUGGUUUCGUGGCCUAGCGGAGCGUAACGCGUGGGAACCUGCCCUUAGGCUCGGCCUAACUUCCCGAAAGGCGGGCUAAUACCGGAUAAUAGCCUCGGACCAAAGAUUUAUCGCCUUUGGGUGGGCCCUCGUUGGAGUAGCUAGUUGGGAGGCUAACAGCCUAUCAAGGCGACGAUCCAUAGCUGGUCUGGGAGGAUGAUCAGCCACACUGGGACUGAGACACGGCCCAGACUCCUACGGGAGGCAGCAGUGGGGAAUAGUGGACGAUGGGCGAAAGCCUGCUGCAGCACUGCCGGGUGAGUGAUGAUGGCCUUAGGGUAGUAAGGCUCUUUUACCCGGGAUGAUAAUGACGGUACCGGGAGAAUAAGCGCCGGCUAACUCCGUG
rnacentral:rRNA from 1 species